ACAUAUGAGGCUGGCUAGGCGGGUGUCCCCUUCCUCCCUCACCACUCCUUGUACAUCCGUCCCGAAACCGCAUGCUCCAUCUAAGAGGACAACCUUCCCCCAUAGAGGACAGGACUGUUCUUCCAUCAAAGGUGUAAGAGUGGCUGCGCUCCCUUGCUGGAACCUCCACACAAGCUCUACUCAUCCUGAUUUAAAAGGUAGUUAUCUGCCUCUGAAUUUGAACUGUACAUACUGGCUACCAUUAU
rnacentral:snRNA from 1 species